rnacentral:pre_miRNA from 1 species
UUUGAGGUAUAAAGUGUUUAGCUGACUUGGGGAAGUGAUCAAUCAUUGGGAUAAAAUUAAAUUUGCUUCUUUUUUCCUCAAAAACUUUUUACUGCGGGUAAAAAAAAAAUUAUUGGGGUAUAAAAAGAUCCAAAUUUAGAUUUAACCCAAAGGUUGAUGGUGUCUUUUCCCCCAAGAAGGCUGCUCACUAUUUACCCAAA